AAGCGGUCAGAGUUGUUUAUUCUUAUCUUGAAAUGGAUGAAAUCGUCCAUCCUGGUGGAUGGUCUAGUAAUCGCCAACCUGAACGAGCCGACACUGUGUACUACGGAGAAUACAAAUGCACGGGGAAAGGUGCGACUCCCGCUACGCGAGAGAAAUUCGUCAAACAACUAUCCGAUGCGGAAGCUCAACCAUUCUUGGUUCUUGACUAUGUUGAAGGUACCAAAUGGUUGCUUCCUCCUCCAACAGUACCUAAUUAAUUCAUUCUAUCCCAACUUAUUCAUGCGGGCAACAUAUCCUCAAGGUACUGCUAGAAGUAGUCUCUCGUCUACCUCGUUGCUGGGUGGAAAUAACUAGCCUUCAAUUUUAUUUUCUUUUAUUUUCCCUCGCUAUGGCUUGUAUUUAAACAAAUAGCCAAAUGUCAAUAAGAAGCAGAAUUUAGUAUUAUUUUUGUUAAUAGUAAUGAUAUUGAUAUUUGCCAUUUUGUAAAAAGUUCCAUCAUAUCAAGUUAAAAUUAUGUAAUAAUAUCCAUCAUAUAUCCAAGUUCACUGAUUCAAUAA